UACGUAGGAUGCAAGCGUUAUCCGGAAUCACUGGGCGUAAAGCGUCCGCAGGGGGGAAUAUAAGUCAGAUGUGAAAUGUCGGUGCUUAACAUCGAAAUUGCAUCUGAAACUGUAUUUCUAGAGGCUGGGAGAGGCGAGUGGAAUUCUCGGUGUAGGAGUAAAAUCCAUAGAUAUCGAGAGGAACACCAAAAGCGAAGGCAGCUCGCUGGAACAGUCCUGACCCUCAUGGACGAAAGCGUGGGGAG
rnacentral:rRNA from 1 species